rnacentral:rRNA from 1 species
GACGAACGCUGGCGGCGUGCUUAACACAUGCAAGUCGAACGGAAAGGCCCCUUUGGGGGUACUCGAGUGGCGAACGGGUGAGUAACACGUGAGUAACCUGCCCUUGACUUCGGGAUAACUUCAGGAAACUGGGGCUAAUACCGGAUAGGAAUCCUUGCUGCAUGGUGGGGGUUGGAAAGCUUCGGCGGUUUUGGAUGGACUCGCGGCUUAUCAGCUUGUUGGUGGGGUAGUGGCUUACCAAGGCUUUGACGGGUAGCCGGCCUGAGAGGGCGACCGGCCACAGUGGGACUGAGAUACGGCCCAGACGCCUACGGGAGGCAGAAGGGGGGAAUAUUGCACAAUGGGCGGAAGCCGGAUGCAGCAACGCCGCGGGCGGGAUGACGGCCUUCGGGUUGUAAACCGCUUUCAGCAGGGGCGAAGCUUGUGGUGACGGUACCUGCAGAAGAAGCACCGGCUAACUACGUG